AGAAGGAGUAACUAGGAGCAGGGUGAAAUGAAAGGGGGGAGGAAAUGAAGGGAGAGAGAGCACAGUAAUUCGGCCAAAGAGCGCGAGAUCCCAGCGAACGCGACAAACCAGGGCAACAGAGGAGUGUAUUGGUUUAAUUACAGGUCCUGGAUUUCUGCCCAGAACUAAUAACUGUAUGCUAUCUUGAAGAACAGAGGAAGAUCAAAGAAGAGAUGAUCUCUUCUUGGGCAGAUCAGACAAUGACAAUGGAAAUUGGAGAACAGGAAGAACUCUUAUUUUGCUUCUGAUUUCUGCUGAGGACGAUGACCUUUGGAACUGAAAGGACAGAACAAAAAUGGCUAAUAGACCUAUCACCUCUGGCCCAGAAUAUCACAGAAUACUCUGGACUCACAUUUCAACCAGGUUUGAUCUUAAAGAUUUACCCUUUGAAGGGUUAAUUUCUCUCUCUGGUUGGUCAUCCCCAUUAGUAAUUACUCCAGGAAAAUCUUUAUUAUUUCUUUCUAUCCAAAUAUAUGUACCCAUAGAGAUACAAAUGUGUGUGUAUUUAUUAAUACAAACUAG